rnacentral:rRNA from 1 species
UAAGCGGAGGAAAAGAAACUAACAAGGAUUCCCCUAGUAACUGCGAGUGAAGCGGGAAAAGCUCAAAUUUAAAAUCUGGUGGUCUUUGGNCAUCCGAGUUGUAAUCUAGAGAAGCNUCUUCCGCGCUGGACCGUGCACAAGUCUCCUGGAACGGAGCGUCGUAGAGGGUGAGAAUCCUGUCUUUGGCAUGGACACACCAGGGCUUUUGUGAUGCGCUCUCGAAGAGUCGAGUUGUUUGGGAAUGCAGCUCAAAAUGGGUGGUGAACUCCAUCUAAAGCUAAAUAUUGGCGAGAGACCGAUAGCGAACAAGUACCGUGAGGGAGAGAUGAAAAGCACUUUGGAAAGAGAGUGAAACAGUACGUGAAAUUGUUGAAAGGGAAACGCUUGAAGUCAGUCGCGUCGACCGAGACUCAGCCUCGCCUCGGCUUGGUGUACUUCUCGGCCCGACGGGUCAGCAUCAAUUUCGCCUCUUGGAUAAUGGCGAGGGAAACGUGACACCUUUACGGUGUGUUAUAGUCUCUCGUCGCAUGCAAGGGUCGGGAUUGAGGAACUCAGCACGCGCCUUUGGGCGUCGGGGCUUUGCCUACGAUACGUGCUUAGGAUGUUGGCGUAAUGGCUUUAAACGACC